CAAGUUAAAGCUUUUAAAAGCAUUUUAUUUACAUUAAAAAGAUUAUUAUGAAUAUAGUAUAAUUUGA
rnacentral:tRNA from 1 species